GAUGAACGCUAGCUACAGGCUUAACACAUGCAAGUCGAGGGCCCGGCGCACGGGUGAGUAACGCGUAUCCAACCUUCCCAUUUCUGUGGUAUAACCUGCCGUAAGGCAGUCCUAUACCGCAUAUUAAUGCUUUGGGAUUCGUCUGAUUAGCUUGUUGGCGGGGUAACGGCCCACCAAGGCGACGAUCAGUAGGGGUUCUGAGAGGAAGGUCCCCCACAUUGGAACGGAGACACGGUCCAAACGCCUACGGGAGGCAGCAGUGCGGAAUAUAGGUCAAGGGGCGCGAGCCUGAACCAGCCAAGUAGCGUGCAGGAUGACGGCCUAUGGGUGGUAAACUGCUUUUGUAUGGGGAUAGGGAACAAAAGAAUAAGGACCGGCUAAUUCCGUGCCAGCAGCCGCGGUAAUAG
rnacentral:rRNA from 1 species